AAUGAACGCUGGCGGCGUGCUUAACACAUGCAAGUCGCACGAGAACUCCUUAGCUUGCUAGGGAUAGUAAAGUGGCGAACGGGUGAGUAACGCGUGGGUAAUCUUCCCUCGAAUCGGGGAUAACAUUGCGAAAGCGAUGCUAAUACCGGAUAAUAUUGCUCGGAUCUCGGUCCGUGCAAUCAAAGGUGGCCUCUACAUGUAAGCUACCGUUUGAGGAUGAGCCCGCGUCCCAUUAGCUUGUUGGUAUGGGUAACGGCCUACCAAGGCGACGAUGGGUAGCUGGUCUGAGAGGAUGAUCAGCCACACUGGAACUGACACACGGUCCAGACUCCUACGGGAGGCAGCAGUGAGGAAUUUUGCGCAAUGGGCGAAAGCCUGACGCAGCAACGCCGCGUGAGUGAUGAAGGCUCUCGGGUCGUAAAGCUCUGUCAAGUGGGAAGAACCCGCAUGAUAUGAAUACUAUCAUGCGCUGGCGGUACCACUGAAGGAAGCACCGGCUAACUCCGUGCCAGCAGCCGCGGUAAUACGGGGGGUGCAAGCGUUAUUCGGAAUUAUUGGGCGUAAAGGGCGCGUAGGCGGCCUGGUAAGUCAGAUGUGAAAUCCCGGGGCUUAACCCCGGAAGUGCAUUUGAU
rnacentral:rRNA from 1 species